UACGGAGGGUGCAAGCGUUGUUCGGAAUCAUUGGGCGUAAAGGGCGCGUAGGCGGGUCGUUAAGUCCGACGUGAAAUCCCUCGGCUCAACUGAGGAAGUGCAUCGGAUACUGGCGGUCUUGAGUCCUGGAGAGGGUAGCGGAAUUCCCAGUGUAGAGGUGAAAUUCGUAGAUAUUGGGAGGAACACCGGUGGCGAAGGCGGCUACCUGGACAGUGACUGACGCUGAGGCGCGAAAGCAUGGGUAGCAAACAGG
rnacentral:rRNA from 1 species